rnacentral:lncRNA from 1 species
UGUUUAUUAAUAACAACAUAGUGUGCAUAAAAGUGCAGUUUUCUCUUACCGCAAGCCAUAUCAUGAUUUGGUUGAAGUGAGUCACGAAGACAACAUUCACUGCAACAUAAAUUCUGCAAAGGCAUUCUAUCACUCUAGCUCUCAUUCCAUUAACUUCACCACCCCAGGAGAUGCCUCAAUUCAUUCAAAAAGUUCCACAUUUUAUCUAUGUUUGUGUAUAAAGAGUGAAUGUUUGUGUUCACACAUGUGCUUUUGGUGUGUGUUAUAAUUUCAAUUUGUAUCUGAGUCACAAAGGCAGUAGAGUAAAUCAUAAUGAGGUACAUGCCUAACACAACACAGUUCAACGUUGCUCCCAAAGAGUGAAUGUUUGUGUUCACACAUGUGCUUUUGG